GAGACUCUGUGCGCGUGCAUAUCAAUAAGCGGAGGAAAAGAAACUAACAAGGAUUCCCCUAGUAACGGCGAGUGAAGCGGGAAGAGCUCAAAUUUGAAAUCUUCAAGGUUUUACCUUGACGAAUUGUAGUUUAAAGAAGUGUUUUCUGUUGAAGUUUUGGUAAAAGUUCUUUGGAAUAGGACAUCAUAGAGGGUGAGAAUCCCGUAUUUGACCAUUAUUUUCAGCUGUGUGAUACACUUUCAAAGAGUCGGAUUGUUUGGGAAUGCAGUCCAAAAUGGGUGGUAAAUUUCAUCUAAAGCUAAAUAUUGGCGAGAGACCGAUAGCGAACAAGUACCGUGAGGGAAAGAUGAAAAGAACUUUGAAAAGAGAGUUAAACAGUACGUGAAAUUGUCAAAAGGGAAGCGUUUGACACCAGUGUUGUUUUCUCGAAAAUCAAUUAAAAAAGGCCGGAUUUUGUGUUGUAUUGACUUUAUCAGCUUUCUGCACUUUUUUCUUGUCUUUUUUAAUGCACUUUUCGUUUAACAAGUCAACAUCAAUUUCUUUUGUUGUAAAAGAGUCAUUGGAAGGUGGCUUUCAUUUCGGAGAAAGUGUUUAUAGCCUUGUGCCUCUGCAAUCGGAGAGAUUGAGGUCUGCAGCGUAGAUCCUUCGGGGUUAGAUACAGUUUGUGCUAAGUUAUAGCUUUUCAUAGACAACUUGUUGACUAUGUUUAGUCUUGUAGCUUACUCGCUGAUGCUAUUUUACCUACGCUUAGGAUGUUGACAGCAGUAUAGACUGU
rnacentral:rRNA from 1 species